ensembl:lncRNA
GAUCAGAUGACUAAGCCAGCUAGUCCAGCAAUCAAAGAACUUUCAGAACUUGUUAUACAAUGAAAAGUCAAAACUAAAUGGAGUAACCAUGAAUGUGUUGGAGAACUUCUCGAAAUUCCGGUCUGUUCCAGAAUGUGGUUGUCUUAUUUGUCUUGUGUCCCUCUACGAGUUUCCUUCACUGCAGUUGAGACUACUGUGUAUGUUUUGGAUCCCAAGACUAGCAGUGACUGGCAUCUUCACCAUCCCUGAGUGAAGAGUGCAGGCAAGCAUGUGGAGCUUAUUUCCACAGUGUGCAACUGAAGAAGGGCUUGUGGAAACAAUUGCAGCACAUCAGAGUCUUUUGGAUUGGGGCCUCACUUCUGGUAUCUUCUUGAAGUUAAUUCUGUCUGACAGUAGGUAAAGUAAAAAAGUGUGCAGAGCACCUUCCAGCACUAUGAAAUUAGCCAGUAUCAAUGAAGAUCGGAUUUCUCCACAACUGUGACUCAAAUAUGUGGUGUCUUUAACAAUAAGGUCUUACCAUCCAUUUCUGGAGGGUAGCUGAGCACAUUGGCAAUAGACUAUAAUGCUAGAGGGUUUAUGUGACACCACACAUUUUCUUUUGAGAAGACCUCACUAUUCAUCUGAGGCUGACUUUGAACUACUCACCUCUCUCAGCCUUCUUAGGGCUGGGAUUACAGGUGUGUGCCACCACACUUGCCUUUGCUAUUCAAACUCAUAAAGAUGAGGCUUUGAUAGCUUUUAAAUCCCAUGUGUUAUAAAACGACCUACCUUUCCCAUGAAUGGUUUUGGUGAGAAUAAGCAGAUCAUUUCCUGCUACUUCUAUUCUGGACACUAUAAUUUGCUAUAGGAACAAAGAAACCAUCAUCCUAGACUCCCCUGCAACUCUUCCCUUGCUAAAUGGUGCAUUCAUGCAUAUUUUGAUGGACUGUUUUUCAAAACUAUAUUUCAAAGGCCCUUGUCAUAUUUAGGAUUUAGGUAUUCAUUGGCAUACUCUUAGAAGAUGUUAAAGUUUAUUUUCAUUAAUUACAGAAGUCUUUACCUGGACUGGAAUGAAAACUCAGAAAGCUGUAACAAUGUCAAGGAUGAAAGCCUAUAGUGAAUUUGGCACAAGGAAAGGGGAUGUGCUGGGCCAUGGGGACUUAUUAGAAAAAAAAGGUUGUGGAAGAUACAGAGUUUUGUAAACUUGUCAGGCUUAUUAUUAAAAACUAAACCAUAAAAAUUUACAAUUAAGUAAGUUAUAUGAAUAUAAAAGGAAGUGCUCAACACUCAUUACCUCUCCAUUAUUUUUACUGUGCUAUGACAUUUUUUGUGCCUUUGAGAUUAUUUAGUGGACACACUUUAUAAUGGCAUGCUAGUACAUAUCACUUUCACAUUGUGCUCAUGGAUGCUGUUAUCUUGAAUUCUGUCAUGGCUGUGUACACAAACCGUGGAAAUUGGCAAAAGCUAAAACUCAAGCUUUGAUUUGUUUGACUGUUUUUUGGACAGCCUAGAUAUAAGAAAACACAGAAAGAAACAUUAGCAAUGGGAUUCAAAGUUAAUAGUAUGUUGCAUGCAUACUUGUUUCACUGUAAAGUGUGAAGAAUUUGCAAAUUGCUGUC